AUUGAACGCUGGCGGCAGGCCUAACACAUGCAAGUCGAGCGAGCGGCGGACGGGUGAGUAAUGUCUGGGAAACUGCCUGAUGGAGGGGGAUAACUACUGGAAACGGUAGCUAAUACCGCAUACCAUCAGAUGUGCCCAGAUGGGAUUAGCGAGUAGGUGGGGUAACGGCUCACCUAGGCGACGAUCCCUAGCUGGUCUGAGAGGAUGACUAGCAACAGUGGAAGUGUGUCAGGGUCCAGACUCCAUGGGGAGGCAGCAUUGGGGAAUUUUGCACAAUGGGUGAUAGCCGGAGGCAGCCAUGCCGCGUGUUUGAAGAGGGCCUUCGGUUUGUAAAGCCUUUUAAGCGGGCAGGCGUUCCCCACAUAAGAAUCACCGGCUAACUCCGUGCCAGCCGCCGCGGUAAUAC
rnacentral:rRNA from 1 species